UCGAGAAUCUUCGGCAAUGGGCGAAAGCCUGACCGAGCGACGCCGCGUGCGGGAUGAAGGCCUUCGGGUUGUAAACCGCUGUCGUAGUGGAGGAAAUGUAAGAGAGUUAUCUCUUUUACUUGACUAAUACUAGGAGGAAGGACCGGCUAAUCUCGUGCCAGCAACCGCGGUAAUACGAGGGGUCCAAACGUUAUUCGGAUUUACUGGGCUUAAAGAGUUCGUAGGCGGCUAAGUAAGUGGGGUGUGAAAUCCCUCGGCUCAACCGAGGAACUGCGCUCCAAACUACUUAGCUAGAGGAAGAUAGAGGUAAGCGGAACAGAUGGUGGAGCGGUGAAAUGCGUUGAUAUCAUCUGGAACACCGGAGGCGAAGGCGGCUUACUGGGUCUUUUUUGACGCUGAGGAACGAAAGCUAGGGG
rnacentral:rRNA from 1 species